rnacentral:rRNA from 1 species
GAUGAACGCUGGCGACGUGCCUAAUACAUGCAAGUCGAGCGAACCACUUCGGGGGUGAGCGGCGAACGGGUGAGUAACACGUAGGUGAUCUGCCCAUCAGACGGGGACAACGAUUGGAAACGAUCGCUAAUACCGGAUAGGACGAAAGUUUAAAGGUGCUUCUGGCACCGCUGAUGGAUGAGCCUGCGGCGCAUUAGCUAGUUGGUAGGGUAAAGGCCUACCAAGGCGACGAUGCGUAGCCGACCUGAGAGGGUGAACGGCCACACUGGGACUGCGACACGGCCCAGACUCCUACGGGAGGCAGCAGUAGGGAAUCUUCGGCAAUGGGCGAAAGCCUGACCGAGCAACGCCGCGUGAGUGAAGAAGGCCUUCGGGUCGUAAAACUCUGUUAUAAGAGAAGAACAAAUUGUAGAGUAACUGCUACAGUCUUGACGGUAUCUUAUCAGAAAGCCACGGCUAACUACGUGCCAGCAGCCGCCGUAA